GAUGAACGCUGGCGGCGUGCCUAAUACAUGCAAGUCGAACGCUGGAAUAUGUGCUUGCACAUAUGAAAGAGUGGCGAACGGGUGAGUAAUACAUAAGCAAUCUGCCCAUUAGACUGGGAUAACUAUUGGAAACGAUAGCUAAUACCGGAUAGGUAAGUUUGAGGCAUCUCGAACUUAUUAAAGUUUAGAUACACUAAUGGAUGAGCUUAUGGCGUAUUAGCUAGUUGGUAAGGUAAUGGCUUACCAAGGCAGUGAUACGUAGCCGGCCUGAGAGGGCGAACGGCCACAUUGGGACUGAGACACGGCCCAAACUUCUACGGAAGGCAGCAGUAGGGAAUUUUCGGCAAUGGGGGCAACCCUGACCGAGCAACGCCGCGUGGGUGAAGAAGGUUUUCGGAUCGUAAAGCCCUGUUGUAAAGGAGAAGACUUAGAUAGAAUCUAAGAGUGACGGUACUUUACCAGAAAGCCACGGCUAACUACGUGCCAGCAGCCGCGGUAAAGUCGUACGA
rnacentral:rRNA from 1 species